CGACGGGUGAGUAACGCGUGAGUAACCUGCCUUACACAAGGGGAUAGCCGUUGGAAACGACGAAUAAUACCCUAUGACAUAAACUCUUCGCAUGAGAGCUUAUCAAAGAUUUAUCGGUGUAAGAUGGACUCGCGUCUGAUUAGCUAGUUGGUGAGGUGACGGCCCACCAAGGCGACGAUCAGUAGCCGGCUUGAGAGAGUGAACGGCCACAUUGGAACUGAGAAACGGUCCAAACUCCUACGGGAGGCAGCAGGG
rnacentral:rRNA from 1 species